rnacentral:rRNA from 1 species
ACGAACGCUGGCGGCGUGCCUAAUACAUGCCAGUUGAGCGCUGAAGGUUGGUACUUGUACCAACUGGAUGAGCAGCGAACGGGUGAGUAACGCGUGGGGAAUCUGCCUUUGAGCGGGGGACAACAUUUGGAAACGAAUGCUAAUACCGCAUAAAAACUUUAAACACAAGUUUUAAGUUUGAAAGAUGCAAUUGCAUCACUCAAAGAUGAUCCCGCGUUGUAUUAGCUAGUUGGUGAGGUAAAGGCUCACCAAGGCGAUGAUACAUAGCCGACCUGAGAGGGUGAUCGGCCACAUUGGGACUGAGACACGGCCCAAACUCCUACGGGAGGCAGCAGUAGGGAAUCUUCGGCAAUGGACGAAAGUCUGACCGAGCAACGCCGCGUGAGUGAAGAAGGUUUUCGGAUCGUAAAACUCUGUUGGUAGAGAAGAACGUUGGUGAGAGUGGAAAGCUCAUCAAGUGACGGUAACUACCCAGAAAGGGACGGCUAACUACGUG